rnacentral:rRNA from 1 species
UCGGGAAUUUUGGGCAAUGGGCGAAAGCCUGACCCAGCAACGCCGCGUGAAGGAUGAAGUAUUUCGGUAUGUAAACUUCGAAAGAAUAGGAAGAAUAAAUGACGGUACUAUUUAUAAGCUCCGGCUAACUACGUGCCAGCAGCCGCGGUAAUACGUAGGGAGCAAGCGUUGUUCGGAUUUACUGGGCGUAAAGGGCGCGUAGGCGGCGCGGUAAGUCACUUGUGAAAUCUCUGAGCUUAACUCAGAACGGCCAAGUGAUACUGCAGUGCUAGAGUGCAGAAAGGGCAAUCGGAAUUCUUGGUGUAGCGGUGAAAUGCGUAGAUAUCAAGAGGAACACCUGAGGCGAAGGCGGGUUGCUAGGCUGACACUGACGCUGGAGCGCGAAAGCCAGGGGAGCAAACGGGAUUAGAUACCCCUGUAGUCC